rnacentral:rRNA from 1 species
GUGGGGAAUAUUGGACAAUGGGCGAAAGCCUGAUCCAGCCAUGCCGCGUGUGUGAAGAAGGUCUUCGGAUUGUAAAGCACUUUAAGUUGGGAGGAAGGGCAGUAAGUUAAUACCUUGCUGUUUUGACGUUACCGACAGAAUAAGCACCGGCUAACUUCGUGCCAGCAGCCGCGGUAAUACGACGGGUGCAAGCGUUAAUCGGAAUUACUGGGCGUAAAGCGCGCGUAGGUGGUUUUGUAAGUUGGAGGUGAAAUCCCCGGGCUCAACCUGGGAACUGCCUCCAAAACUGCAUGACUAGAGUACGGUAGAGGGUAGUGGAAUUUCCUGUGUAGCGGUGAAAUGCGUAGAUAUAGGAAGGAACACCAGUGGCGAAGGCGACUACCUGGACUGAUACUGACACUGAGGUGCGAAAGCGUGGGGAGCAAACAGGAUUAGAUACCCUUGUAGUCC